GGACAAACCAGUGACCAUCCAGUUCCAGCUCCCUGCCACAAUCAGGGGGACUUUUCCACUAUCCCAGGUUUCUCCAAAACUCAUCCAACCCAGCCUUGGACACUUCCAGGGACCCAGGGGCAGCCACAGCUUCUCUGGGCAAGCUGCAGGUGAUGCAUCAUGAGCCCACCUGGGAACCCUGAGACAGUGAUUUUCAAAUAAGGGUGACAUCCAUCACACUCAAGCAGCAACUUGCAACAGUUUGCUCUAAACCACAUUUUGUGAGUAAGUGCUGCAGGUGAAGAUCAAAGCACGCCCCAGGUGGGUUCUGGGUCAUGCACAGGCACAAGUCUGAGAGGGGAGAGGUCUUCCCAACAUUUACAGAACUGUUUUGGAAGCUCUGCAUGUCUAAGCAUCAGCUUGCAGGUGGAAUCCUUCAUUAUUGCAAGCUCUGACUGGUGGAUGUUGCCCUGCCUACCCUGAAAAUUCACAGAAGCUGCCAUAAAUUCCAGAGAUGUAGAAGCACAUUCCUUCUCUUCAUUCCCUCAGAUAUAAUAAU
rnacentral:lncRNA from 1 species